UCCCGUGUGGCUCAGAUGGCAGAGCGUGACACUUGCAACGUCAGGGUUGUCGGUUUGAUUCCCACGGGGGGAA
rnacentral:tRNA from 1 species